rnacentral:tRNA from 1 species
GGGGUUGUGGCUCAGCGGCAGAGCGCAUGCCUCGCACAUAUGAGGAACUGGGUUGGAUCCUCAGCACCGCA